rnacentral:lncRNA from 1 species
GGGGGAAAUACAAGUUAAAACACCAAGAACAUAACUAAAAGUUUCUAACAGCUUUCAUCAGAAAAGUUGGACACCAUUCACGGACUGUUUUGGACACCUUAAACAUUUUAGUUUUCAAAACUGUUUUAGGUGCAUGUAGUUCCACUUCUUAGCUUUAAAAUGACUACUUGCACAUCUCCAUACGAUUUUUCUACAAUUUAUGGUGAUUUUUACAAAACUGCCUAUCAUUUCAAACACCAAUCCGGACCAGUCUGUGAUUAUGGACUUUUUCACCUAAGUUGCAGGUCAUUAAAAAUCAUGAUAAAAAUUAUGAGUAAACUAGACACANCAGGUCAUUAAAAAUCAUGGUAAAAAUUAUGAGUAAACUAGACACAUUUUGGGAACUCCCAGAAUUUACGGAUUUAGUUUUCGACUUCGUAUGAUUUUUCUAUAAAGUUUCAAAAACAGUGUAGAAAGGCUGAAAAUUUGUUAACAGCUUGUAAUUUUUACAACACUUUGU